GAUGAACCUACAAUUGAAGUAAUAUUUCAGAAGAGAAAAACCAACGAGAUUAUUUGUUUCAGUGGCAGACAAAGCUGAGAAGAACAGUACUGCUGAAGACUAAUGGUAUCAGAGAAGCAACUGCCAAAAUGAAGCUUUGUAAGCCCCUAGAAGUCUAUGACACUGUGAAACUUUAUGUCUGAGUAACACAGUGUCCAAAACAGAGCUAAACGAAAACAGGCUACGAAGAAAAGAAGGCAGGUUGGUUUCCAUUCUGAAGACAGAACCAUUCAGAUGCCUCAGCAACAUAAGAUGAGCCAAGCAAAGCCACAGGAAGUAUUAAAGAACUAAACAAGCACAAAAUGAGAUAACUACAGGCACAAGACAACACAGCUGUACUAAGUAGUAAAGGUCCACUCUAACCCCAUACCCUCACACCUGAAGAACACAAAACCAGUUACUAAGGCAGGAUUCUGCAAGCAGGUUAAAAGAGUUCCUCCCUGGCCCCUUCCCACCCACAUAUACUCUCUAAUCCUUCAGAAGUCCAUGGACUCACGCAGUCAAGAAGCGUAUGAAUCAGAACGGCAUGGGCUGGAAUGGAUCUCAAGGAUCAUCAGGUUCCAACCCCUGCUGCAGGCAGGGCUGCCAGUCGCUGGAUCAAGCACUAGACCAGGCUGCCCAGGGCCCCAUCCAGCCUGGCCUUGAACACCUCCAAGGAUGGGGCAU